GACGAACGCUGGCGGCGUGCUUAACACAUGCAAGUCGAACGGAAAGGCCCUGCUUUUGUGGGGUGCUCGAGUGGCGAACGGGUGAGUAACACGUGAGUAACCUGCCCUUGACUUUGGGAUAACUUCAGGAAACUGGGGCUAAUACCGGAUAGGAGCUCCUGCUGCAUGGUGGGGGUUGGAAAGUUUCGGCGGUUGGGGAUGGACUCGCGGCUUAUCAGCUUGUUGGUGGGGUAGUGGCUUACCAAGGCUUUGACGGGUAGCCGGCCUGAGAGGGUGACCGGCCACAUUGGGACUGAGAUACGGCCCAGACUCCUACGGGAGGCAGCAGUGGGGAAUAUUGCACAAUGGGCGGAAGCCUGAUGCAGCAACGCCGCGUGCGGGAUGACGGCCUUCGGGUUGUAAACCGCUUUCGCCUGUGACGAAGCGUGAGUGACGGUAAUGGGUAAAGAAGCACCGGCUAACUACGUGCCAGCAGCCGCGGUGAUACGUAGGGUGCGAGCGUUGUCCGGAUUUAUUGGGCGUAAAGGGCUCGUAGGUGGUUGAUCGCGUCGGAAGUGUAAUCUUGGGGCUUAACCCUGAGCGUGCUUUCGAUACGGGUUGACUUGAGGAAGGUAGGGGAGAAUGGAAUUCCUGGUGGAGCGGUGGAAUGCGCAGAUAUCAGGAGGAACACCAGUGGCGAAGGCGGUUCUCUGGGCCUUUCCUGACGCUGAGGAGCGAAAGCGUGGGGAGCGAACAGGCUUAGAUACCCUGGUAGUCCGCGCUGUAAACGGUGGGUACUAGGUGUGGGGUCCAUUCCACGGGUUCCGUGCCGUAGCUAACGCUUUAAGUACCCCGCCUGGGGAGUACGGCCGCAAGGCUAAAACUCAAAGGAAUUGACGGGGCCCCGCACAAGCGGCGGAGCAUGCGGAUUAAUUCGAUGCAACGCGUAGAACCUUACCUGGGUUUGACAUGGAUCGGGAGUGCCCAGAGAUGGGUGUGCCUCUUUUGGGGUCGGUUCACAGGUGGUGCAUGGCUGUCGUCAGCUCGUGUCGUGAGAUGUUGGGUUAAGUCCCGCAACGAGCGCAACCCUUGUUCACUGUUGCCAGCACGUUAUGGUGGGGACUCAGUGGAGACCGCCGGGGUCAACUCGGAGGAAGGUGGGGAUGACGUCAAGUCAUCAUGCCCCUUAUGUCCAGGGCUUCACGCAUGCUACAAUGGCUGGUACAGAGAGUGGCGAGCCUGUGAGGGUGAGCGAAUCUCGGAAAGCCGGUCUCAGUUCGGAUUGGGGUCUGCAACUCGACCUCAUGAAGUCGGAGUCGCUAGUAAUCGCAGAUCAGCAACGCUGCGGUGAAUACGUUCCCGGGGCU
rnacentral:rRNA from 1 species